CUCCUGCCUGCUCACUCUCACUGGCAAGUCCAUUCCCUCACUGACAUUAGAGCCUACCUAUUUGAGAUUCCAUCAUAUUCUGAAGUCCAGCUAAGACAUCCUGCCCCAUGUACUGAACAACUACUGAACUCUUGGACCUUCUGUUCAUAGGACUGGAGUAAGAACUCAGCAGGGUUUGGUGCUCGUCCAGAGGACACAGGUUUAAAUUCUGGCAUGCCCAGUUGCUCAUAACCUUCUGUAACUCCAGCUCCAGAGGAUCAGAUGACCUUUUGUGGCUUCUGAAGGAAAAUGUUUGCUACAAGGGAUAAACACAUAGAUCAGAAGAUACAACACUGCAGGAGGUUUGUGACUAAGGACCAAGCAACAGAAAUUAUCAAAUGAAACACAAAGGAGAAAAGUUAAAAAACGAAAAAGUAAACAGAGCAUCCUCUUCGUCAUCUCUAAAAGUUCAACUUCUGCAUCUGCAGUAAAACGAUUCUCACGGUUUUACUCGGCAUGGCCCGUCUCUCCUAUAGUACUGGGAACAUGCACAGAUGCAGCUGAAUGGCCACUUCCUGUGUCUCUACAAAUUCCAUCACCUAUGUCCGUCCAUGGAUUCAGUUUCCCUUCUCCUUAGCUUCUCUUCUGCUUCAUUACAGGUUGGGUUAUUUCUCUCAGGAUUCCAUCCAUUGUAUAUUUGCUUUGUUGGAUGCUGGGAAUUCGUACAAUGUUCCAUACAUACUUUGUUCUAUGAUAAUAAAAAAAAAAAAAAGUACUGGGAACAGUGUGACACAUUCGAGUCUUUGAAAGUCUUGUCAGGCACAAGCAGAGAAGCAUUUAAUCCAGAGCUUUUGUUGUUGCUUUUUGUUUGUUUGUUUCUUGUUUUUGU
rnacentral:lncRNA from 1 species